rnacentral:rRNA from 1 species
AGACAACUUGCUACAGGCCAAGAAGUUGAUGUUUCAAGCAAGAAGAAUAACAGUGGUAGGAAGAGGAAAGAACUAGAUCUGUCGGGAACAACUACAAUCUCUUUGAACAAAAGAAGAACAAUCCAUUCUCUUGCAAGGUGUUUAGGUGUUCCCCAGUCAACCCUACAUGACAGAUUUCAGUUGCAAGAGUUGAAACGCAUCACGAGCACCAUCAAACCCACCCUCAAGCCAGAGAACAAGAUAGCGAGACUAAAGUUCUGCCUAUCCAUGAUGGAUGAAAGAUGGAUAUCAAGUCCUUGGCCUAGUUUCAAGAUAAUGACAAAUAUGGUCCACAUCGAUGAGAAAUGGUAUGACAUGACCCGAGUGAAGAGUAGCUACUAUGUACUGCCUGGAGAAGAACAACCAAAUCGAACUGUGCACAAUACUCAUAGAAUUGGGAAGGUAAUGUUUCUAACAGCUGUGGCCAAACCUCGCUAUAAUGAAGAUGGGGAGAUGACAUUUGAUGGAAAGCUUGGAAUUUGGCCGUUCGUGAUAGAGACCGAGGCACAACGAACAAGCCAUGACAGAGAUAGGGGGACAAUAGAGUUGAGGCCGGCAAAGUUACUAGACCUGUGUGCAGAGAUUACCUGA